rnacentral:rRNA from 1 species
AUGCAUUGGUUUGAGAAGCCUAUCAGCGGGAGCCGGGCCGAUCACCCAGAGGUGAUGCCGUCUCCCGGCUCUUAUGCGUUGGCAUUGGACGCUACCCUCAUGACAGAAAGGCGAGCUGCCCGUUUCUCCCGAGUACUGAUUGACGGAGGGAGCAACAUCAACAUACUGUACCGUGACACCAUGGAGAAGCUGAACAUCAAGAUGAAGCAACUCAUGCCAAGCCGGACUGUGUUCCAUGGCAUCGUACCCGGCCUGUCCUGCUCACCAAUCGGCAAGAUCAAGAUAGAUGUUCUCUUCAGAGACAAGGAUCACUUCCGCCGAGAAGCAGUCUGGUUUGAAGUGGUGGAUCUAGAGAGCCCUUAUCACGCGUUGCUUGGCCGACCUGCCUUGGCCAAGUUCAUGACUGUGCCCCACUACGCCUACCUCAAGAUGAAGAUGCCUAGUUCGAAGGGAAUCAUCACCAUAGCCGGAGACUACAAGAAAUCCACCGAGUGUGCUGCAGCCAGCAGCCGGCUGGCCGAGUCCCUCGUGAUUGCUGAAGAAAAGAAGAUGCUGGACCGAGUCGUGGCCAUGGCCGGCAAGCAGCCGGCCCUGUCCCCUGACCCCGAGGAGUAUGAUGCUCAAGGCUCCUUCCAGCCGGCCAAGGAAACAAAGAAGAUACUUCUGGACCCAGAGAACCCGGAGAGGUUUGCCGUCAUAGGUGCGAACCUUGACAGCAAAUAG